UGAGGAAUAUUGGUCAAUGGACGGGAGUCUGAACCAGCCAAGUAGCGUGCAGGAUGACGGCCCUAUGGGUUGUAAACUGCUUUUAUAGGGGGAUAAAGUGUGCCACGUGUGGCAUAUUGCAGGUACCCUAUGAAUAAGGACCGGCUAAUUCCGUGCCAGCAGCCGCGGUAAUACGGAAGGUCCGGGCGUUAUCCGGAUUUAUUGGGUUUAAAGGGAGCGUAGGCGGUCUGGUAAGUCAGCUGUGAAAACGCGGGGCUCAACUCCGCGCCUGCAGUUGAUACUGUCGGACUUGAGUGCACGCAGGGAUGCCGGAAUUCAUGGUGUAGCGGUGAAAUGCUUAGAUAUCAUGAAGAACUCCGAUCGCGAAGGCAGGUGUCCGGAGUGCUACUGACGCUGAGGCUCGAAAGUGUGGGUAUC
rnacentral:rRNA from 1 species